AAGAGCCCCCGUAUACCUCCGUCCCAGCAGCCGGCGUAAUCGGUAGGGUGCGGCGUUAUUCGUAAUUAUGGGGAAAGCGCGUGCGGGCGGUUGUUAAGUGCAGAUGGGAAUCCCGCGCUAAACGUGGAAUAGCAUUCGAACUGCAUAGCUAGAUCUCGGCAGAGGGGGGAUAGAUUUCCGGGCGUAGCCGUCAAAGGCGUGGAUUUGGGGUGGAACACCGAGGGAGAAGGCCACUCCCCGGAUCAUGAAAACACGUUCGUUCAAGAAGGGUGGGGAGCAAGCAUGUUUGAUUUCCCUGGUUAGUCAACGCAAAUAAAAAAAUUCAAUUGGUUGUUGGGUCUUCACUGCCUCACUUCCGAAGCUAACGCGUGAAUUAGACCGCCUGGGGAGUCCGGCCGCAAGGUUGAUACUCAAUGAAAUUGACGGGGACCCGCCCACGCGGUGGAUGAUGUGGUUAAAUUAGAUGCAAGGAAAAAAACCUAACCCACUUUUCACUUGUACGUAAUCCAUUAGAGAUAGAGGAGUGCUUGAAAGAGAACAAAACACAGGCACUGCAUGGAUGUCGUCAGCUCGUGUAAAAAGAUGUAGGGUUAAGUCCCGCCACGAACGCAACCCACGUCAUUAGUUGCUACAUAUAGUUGGGCACUGUAAUGAGACUGCCGGGGACAAACCGGAGGAAGGUGGGGAUGACGUCAAGUCCUCAUGGCCCUUAUAGGUGGGGCUACACACGUCAUACAAUGGUCGGUACAGAGGGUUGCCAACCCGCGAGGGGGAGCCAAUCCCAUAAAGCCAGUUGUAGUCCGGAUCGCAGUUUGCAACUCGACUGCGUGAAGUCGGAAUCGCUAGUAAUCGCGGAUCAGAAUGUCGCGGUGAAUACGUUCCCGGGUCUUUACACACCGCCCGUCACACCAUGGAGCGGGUUCUGCCAGAAGUAGUUAGCCUAACCGCAAGGAGGGCGAUA
rnacentral:rRNA from 1 species